rnacentral:rRNA from 1 species
AUUUGGCGGACGGGUGAGUAACGCGUGGGAAUCUACCCAGUUCUACGGAAUAACCCAGGGAAACUUGGACUAAUACCGUAUACGCCCUACGGGGGAAAGAUUUAUCGGAAUUGGAUGAGCCCGCGUUAGAUUAGCUAGUUGGUGGGGUAAUGGCCUACCAAGGCGACGAUCUAUAGCUGGUCUGAGAGGAUGAUCAGCCACACUGGGACUGAGACACAGCCCAGACUCCUACGGGAGGCAGCAGUGGGGAAUAUUGGACAAUGGGCGCAAGCCUGAUCCAGCCAUGCCGCGUGAGUGAUGAAGGCCUUAGGGUUGUAAAGCUCUUUCAGUGGGGACGAUAAUGACGGUACCCACAGAAGAAGCCCCGGCUAACUUCGUGCCAGCAGCCGCGGUAAUAC